rnacentral:lncRNA from 1 species
CAUCUUUGUUCGGUUGGAAGCUGCUUCAAAGUAAACAAUAACAUUUAUUUCAACUGUAUUUGUGGAUUAAUUUAAUGUUUGUGUCACUGAGAAAAUUAUAAAUUUAUUUUAAUGUUAUAAAAUUAUGGGUUUGACUGCGGGCAAGCAAAUAAAGUCGCAUACAUCAUAGCUAGUUAGUUCUUGUUCUAUGGUUUUGAGUUUUGCCCUGUUUAAAACAACGUGACGUAUUUAUUUUUGACCUACAAAAGUGGAAAUCACACAGUAAAAGAAUCAAUUUAGGAAAAUAUGCAUAGAUAAUAAGGCGUGUUUGUUUGUGUGGGAGAGCUAUAGCUAACCAUCAACCAACGUUUGGUUCUCCCAUCUGGAACAGCAGCCAACCGAAGCGGCUGCAUCCGUCUCUUUUGUCCAAACGUCGGUGACCGUUGGGCGGGGUGUAGCUCGGUCGCUGGAUCAUCCCGGACCAGAGAGCCGCAGUGUGCUGGCUGCUGUUAUGCUCGUUCCGGGGCGCCGCUGUCAGGCUCCGUACGCUGCGUGUGGAUGAAACAGACGCCGGGUGAUGCUCGACCAGCGCGGACCAGCCCUCAGCAAGCCCGAGAAGAGGUGACUCGAUCUGCAUGUGACGUUCUCCAGGUCAUUGCCUGGAGCAAAAACAGUGGAGCCGCUCUGCCUGCCUACACAUAUCAGUAAGAACAAACUGGGUCAAAACUGUCUUUUGCCACUUCAUUACACUCAACAACCUCAAAGAAUCUCCCGACAAGACAAAUGAAAGAGGGUCUCCAUCCGUCUGUGCCCUGGUGAUGGACUAUAUCAAGGGCUGUUUGGAUCAAUACCAAUGAAUGUGCUGAUGGACUUGUUACGCGGAUGGCUUCGUGUCUAAUAGUGAGUCCUGCUGGGCGGUGAUGUGUGCUCAGACUGAGCUGUUACGCCUCAGUUAUUCUGAAGAAAAACGAUUUAAGGGUGAGGGAAAAGACAAGUAAUCUUUAUGGUUUAUUAGAACUCAUCAGGGGUCAAAACAGCUCCUUUAAUUUGUGCAGAAGUCCUGGGAUAAUACCCAG